GAUGAAGAACGCAGCGAAAUGCGAUAAGUAAUGUGAAUUGCAGAAUUCAGUGAAUCAUCGAAUCUUUGAACGCACAUUGCGCCCGCCAGCACUCUGGCGGGCAUGCCUGUUCGAGCGUCAUUAUAACCCCUCAAGCUCAGCUUGGUGUUGGGGCCUGCUGCACUGGCAGCCCUUAAAAUCAGUGGCGGCGCCAUCUGGCUCUAAGCGUAGUAAUUCUUCUCGCUAUGGAGUCCUGGUGGAUGCUUGCCAUCAACCCCCAAUUUUUCUAUGGUUGACCUCGGAUCAGGUAGGGAUACCCGCUGAACUUAAGCAUAUCAAUAAGCGGAGGA
rnacentral:misc_RNA from 1 species